UACAAACAGGCAUGCCCAAACUAAAGAUUCACAACCAAAACGAACUGUUACAGAACCGACUAGUUUCCUAUCUGAGGGAAUGGUCUUGAUGGCAUCUGCUUUGAUGAUGAGAUCUACUGGGAUGUGAUACUGUACUAAAUCAUUAAAGACUAAAUGCAUUAAUAUCAUGAAGACUGCAAAGCCAUUUUGGAACUAUCUUUCUGAAGUUACCUGAGGAUGAAGAGAACAAUCCACCUACCGUGGAGUACAAUAACCACAUGCGGAACCAGGCCGUAACAAUCAAAUUCCUCAGUGGAACAGUCAGAACUAGAGCCUGACGUCAUCUCCCCCCUGCACUUUCAACUGAUGAUCCUAUCCUACACUGACAUCUGCUGGACAGAAACCAGUUCUCUCUUCCUCAUCACCGUACACUGUUCUGUUCAUGGAAUUUAUAGUACAUUUUAACUACUUAAUUUAAUGAAAUCACAUUGUAACCACAUGUAACCUGUUUGUUCUAAAUGUGUUAUUUCUGGUUCAUUCUAAUCUCUACGUUAUAAAGCAUUUUAUUAAAUCUA